AAGUCGUAACAAGGUCUCCGUAGGUGAACCUGCGGAGGGAUCAUUACAGAGUAACAUGCCCUGACGGGUAGAUCUCCCACCCUAUGUUAUUAUUACUUGUUGCUUGGCGGGCCGUCAGGCUCACGCCGGCUACCGGCUCACGCUGGUAAGCGCCGCCAGAGAACCCAAACCCUGAAUGUUAGUGUCGUCUGAGUACUAUAUAAUAGUUCAAAA
rnacentral:misc_RNA from 1 species